AUUGUUAUUACAAUUUGCUUGAAAUGUCGUUUUCCAUUCCUUUACUCUCAGUCUAUGUUUUUAUGCUCUAUUUUGUGGCAAGGCGCUGUUCAAACUCUGAGGAUAGGGAUGGGGGCAGGAGGGUAAGGUAUGUGCCAUUUUUUUUGACAAGAGUUUUACAGGGUUUACUGGCUGGUUUGUUCUUCCUAAGUGAGGCUAUAGGGUGGUCUCCAUGGUUGCCUGGAUUUUUCUGAUCAGGUUUAUUGGAUGGUCAGGACUGGGUUAUUAUAUUCAGUAGUGCAUGGAGCCAUUCAUUAGAUUCCUUUUCCAGGCAGGGAACAGGAUAGGACCCAUGGCCUGUACAGCUCAUUAUCUGGGGACUCAAACCAGGCCAAAAUGUUUACUGAAUUCCCUGGUCAAGUGAGACCACCAAUUUUGUUCUGCAGAUGGGAGAAACCUUGGGCUAUGCUCUACGGGCUGUGAAGCUUCCUUUGUGCUCAGGUUAGGCUUCCCGAUUGGACAGGUUGAAGGCUGUAUUCAGUGAUGAACUGGGCUAGUUUCCCUGCCUCAUCAUAGAAGGAAAAGCAGCUCUAAAACCAAUAAAGCUCUUUGUUUUCUUAAUUCAAACCGACCUGCAUCCCAAGUUCCCUGAUUGAACAGGCCCAUUAGUUUUGUUCUGCAAACUAUCAGCUGAAGCAUAAUAUAUUUAUUUAUUUUUUAUAAACCUUCCAUUUUCCAACAAGAAUUUAGGUGACUUACAAGGGAUUUUAUUUGUGAAAAUGUUUGAUGGAAGUUAAUUAAGAGUAUUAAGUGACUGGAAGUCUCAAAAAUCCCGGAGUAGAUAAUUAUUCCCCAUGCAUCAUCUGCUGGGUAAUAUGGGAUUUCUCUUGUUUAUAAAAGAUAAAAAUAAAAAAAAGGCUGCAUUCUAAAAGGUUUCACAUUAGAGAAAAACUUCCAUUUUUCUCCUUCAUGUAUCAGUUUUUAAUUUCCACUAAUGUUUUUAUAUUAUUUGGUCAAUUAGCUGUCAGAAUUUUUUAGAGGUAAAGAAAGCUACAUGUUUCUGAUUCUGAUGGGUACUGGAUUCAAUGUUACAUGCAAAUAAGUUUGAGCUAAUAGAUCUUUGCAUUUUACACAUUGCUGAAGAGCAUAGAAUGUAAUUAGGUCUCCCUUUUAUAUGGUUGCAGCUUGUCCCUUUACUAAAUCAAUUGUCUUUGCUACUCACUUAAUGUCAUUUUCUCUACUGUCUUCAGUGUUUCUUUCCAACCUAGAGUGAGACUUUUACUCUAGCUUUGAUGAAAUACAAGAAGUGGAACUUGUUGGUCAAAACGCUGGACAAAACAGAUGGAGAAGCAAAGAAGUAUGUGACAUAAGACAUGCAGAAAUUUGGAUCUCUCCAAUUAAUCAUGGUUCACAGCUGACAAAAAGAGAUAAACUCCCAAGUUCCAUGCAGAAACCUCAUACUAUCUUCAAACCAAAAUCAAACCAAAAAUUAUACCAACUGAAUAUUAAAGCCAAGACUUUUUUCAUUGUGAACUUGGGUGACUAAAUCUAAGAAUGGACUGAUAAACAUUGCUGAGUGGUACACAUUGGAUGAAAUCAUUACCCUACCAUCAUCACUAAGAAAUGACAAUGCUGUCACCUGCAAGCAGGCCAUGAAAUGAUGGUGAGUAAUCACUGUAACCUCUCUCUCCUGGGUACUUUAUAUGUGCUAAAGUUCAUUUUACCCUCACAUCAGAUGAUGAAGUGACCACUUUAUACACCUUUUACAGAUAGGAAAGCUGAGGUUUAAAGUGUUAAAUCGAUUUCACAAAUUACUGAGCUGACAAAUGUAAGCUCUGAUAUCGGAAUCCAUACCAGAAAUUUGGUUCUAUGAGAAUCAGGAGCAUAUUCUCUGAACAUGAAAUUCAGAGACACAAAUAUUUCUUAAAUAUGAUAAAGAGUUUAGAAGAAUUUGGUCUGUUAAAUAUUGGAAUGGGGUGCCUCUAGGGGAUUGUUUCUUUCUUUCUGGAGAUAAUAAUGGAGUGGUUGGGUAAUUUAUAUUCAGUGAUUUUACAGAGAGGGAUUCAGAUGUUGGAUAGGGCUUGAGAGUAUGUUUUUUUCAUUGUCUUCACUCUAUGAUCCAUGAUUUUAUCCCAUGAAACAUUUCCUGAUGUUUUAAGUUUUCUGAGGUCAAGGGGGAUUGUGUUUACUAUUAUUAUGCUUAUUAUUGUCUUCACUGACACCAGUCAUCAUUUUUAAGACAAGCCCAAAAGGGUAAGACUUUAAAUUAUUAUGUCUUUGCUAAUGUACAAUUUAAAGGGACGUUUAUUUGCUAUAUAAUUUUGAGGAAAAGGUCAAUUGUUUCUUUCUUUUUGAGGAACUAGUUACUGCCAUGAAAUUGGUAAAUUGGUAAUAUUUGUAUCUAUAGAAGGUAAAUAAAUUUUUCAAGGGAUUAAA